rnacentral:rRNA from 1 species
GGGUGACGAGCGGCGGACGAGGUGAGUAAUGUCUGGGAAACUGCCUGAUGGAGGGGGAUAACUACUGGAAACGGUAGCUAAUACCGCAUAACGUCGCAAGACCAAAGAGGGGGACCUUCGGGCCUCUUGCCAUCAGAUGUGCCCAGAUGGGAUUAGCUAGUAGGUGGGGUAACGGCUCACCUAGGCGACGAUCCCUAGCUGGUCUGAGAGGAUGACCAGCCACACUGGAACUGAGACACGGUCCAGACUCCUACGGGAGGCAGCAGUGGGGAAUAUUGCACAAUGGGCGCAAGCCUGAUGCAGCCAUGCCGCGUGUAUGAAGAAGGCCUUCGGGUUGUAAAGUACUUUCAGCGGGGAGGAAGGCGUUGAGGUUAAUAACCUCAGCGAUUGACGUUACCCGCAGAAAAAGCACCGGCUAACUCCGUGCCAGCAGCCGCGGUAAUACGGAGGGUGCAAGCGUUAAUCGGAAUUACUGGGCGUAAAGCGCACGCAGGCGGUCUGU